UUGUUAACAUAUAUGUUACUGUACAAAACAGACGACAAACAAACACAAUGCUGCAUAAAGCAGACCAUUAACAAACACAAAAACAAAUUCAAUGACAAGGCAACGAGAAUUUUACUUUCAUUACUUUAUAGCUCACGCCACGGCAGUGGCUCUCGACAGGGGUGUGUGUGUACAACAUGGGGCCCCUGCAACGUUCGGCAACGUCUGGAGACAAUUUUAGUGGCACAGUGGGGUGGGUAGUGCCACUGGCAUCAACACCCUAAAACCAUAGGACAGCCCCCCCACGGCAAAGAAUGAUCUAGCCUCAACGUCAGUAGUGCUGAGGUUAAGAAGCCCAGCUCCAUGGACACCUAAACACACACACACACACACACACACCCAGUGAUAAUCAUGGCCCCAAUCUGUUCUGCAGUGACUUGUAUCGUCUUGUGGUUAGAACACCCGUACAAAGGCAGCUUCGAGGAAAUGGGCAAUUGAGUUGCCUCUUCUCACCCCACGCCCUGUAACUCAUCUGCCCGCUCAGCCCUCCGUGGCGACCCUCUGGGGCUCCCAGGGCUUGUCAGCUCAAGCGCAUUUCAUAAAGGAGCCUGGGUCUCUUCCUCGCAGCCCCGGGGCGGUACAGGUGGGCUUGAAGAAAGGGAGCAGUAGCAUCUUACGGGUGGGAAUGCGGUGCCCCGCCAGGCUCUGCUCCCGGAGACAGACUCCUCCAGGGAUGGAGGCAGCUCAGCCAGGACCAGUCUGGGAGCAGGACGCGGACAUUUCUGCCAUAAGCUCCCCUCCUGAGAAGAGACGGGGGCCCCGGGGAAGUGGGUGUGGGCAGAAUACUGGAAAUGGCAAGAGCAAAUCUCUCCUCUGAGCGUGGGCCCGGGCCGCCUCGCCCUUCCCCGGGUCAUGGAGGGAAAGACCCGGACUGCACGCGACUGCUUCAGCGCAGACUGGUUUGCAUUCGUGACUUUUUUGGGCACCAGGAGAUUCCCCACUGGAUAAGUGACUUGAAUUAUCUGGCAUUUGAUUCUAAUAAAAUUUUUAUUCGAGUAUAGUUGACUUAUCACGUGUUCGUUUCAGAUGUACAGGGAAUUUAUGGGAAAUGCAUCUGCUCCGAAGGUGCAUUCACAGCACGUGUCCAAACCCAGGGAUAAUAAGGCCCCGUGUCUCCCAGUGGAGGAGAGGACCACAACCCCGAGAGAGUGCCUGGGGCACAGACACAGCUGUGCAUUUGCUGGGUCGGAACCAAGGCGCCUCCUGCUCUGUUAUGGGCUGCAUUCUAGUCCCCCAACUCACACACUCCAGUCCUAACCGCCAGCACCCCAGAAUGUGACUGCAUUUGGAUGUGGGGCCUUUCAAGCGACAGCUAAGGUAAAAUGCCGUGGCCAGGGUGGGCCCUGAGCCAGCGAUGGGUGUCCUUAGCAGAAGGGGGUUUGGGCACACAUGGAGGCGGUGUGAGGACACAGGGAGAAGGCGGCCAUCUGCAAGCCCAGGAGAGAGGCCUCAGGAGGAACCAACACUGCUGACGCCUUAAUCUCUGACUUGUUCCAGAACUGAGGUCGCACUGUCCUGCCGCGGAAGCCCUGG
rnacentral:lncRNA from 1 species